rfam:Lupinus angustifolius cultivar Tanjil contig_11934, whole genome shotgun sequence.
GGCCAAUGAUGUAUAUUCUAUUGUAAGUAUUACCAGAUUAAGUUGUGAUGAUAAUACAAAUUGUCACUACCUCUGAGGCC